AAGGCCCUACGGGGGGCAGCAGUGGGGAAUAUUGCACAAUGGGGGAAACCCUGAUGCAGCGAUGCCGCGUGGAGGAAGAAGGUUUUCGGAUUGUAAACUCCUUUUAUCAGGGACGAUAAUGACGGUACCUGAAGAAGAAGCUCUGGCUAACUACGUGCCAGCAGCCGCGGUAAUACGUAGGGAGCGAGCGUUGUCCGGAAUUACUGGGUGUAGAGGGAGCGUAGGCGGGACGGCAAGUCAGAUGUGAAAACUGAGGGCCCAACCUUCAGACUGCAUUUGAAACUGCUGUUCUUGAGUGAAGUAGG
rnacentral:rRNA from 1 species